UCCCCGUUACCGAGGCAGUCUAAAUAGAAAAAUUCAACUAUUUACAAGGGUUGCGCUCGUUGAUGGACUUAACCAAACAUCUCACGACACGAGCUGACGACGGCCAUGCAUCACCUGUCACCUGAUUCCCGAAGGCACUCUCUCCUUUCGAAAAGAUUCCAGGGAUGUCAAGCCUUGGUAAGGUUCUUCGCUUACCAUCGAAUUAAACAACACGCUCCACCGCUUGUGCGGGUCCCCGUCAAUUCCUUUAUGUUUUAAGCUUGCGCUCGUACUCCACAGGCGGGAUGCUUAACGCGUUAGCUUCGCUACUACUCGGGUCGAUACGAAUAACAGCUAGCAUCCAUAGUUUACGGCGUGGACUAC
rnacentral:misc_RNA from 1 species